UUUUAUGGAGAGUUUGAUCCUGGCUCAGGAUGAACGCUGGCGGCGUGCCUAAUACAUGCAAGUCGAGCGAACGGACGAGAAGCUUGCUUUUCUGAUGUUAGCGGCGGACGGGUGAGUAACACGUGGAUAACCUACCUAUAAGACUGGGAUAACUUCGGGAAACCGGAGCUAAUACCGGAUGAUAUUUUGAACCGCAUGGUUCAAAAGUGAAAGACGGUCUUGCUGUCACUUAUAGAUGGAUCCGCGCUGCAUUAGCUAGUUGGUAAGGUAACGGCUUACCAAGGCAACGAUGCAUAGCCGACCUGAGAGGGUGAUCGGCCACACUGGAACUGAGACACGGUCCAGACUCCUACGGGAGGCAGCAGUAGGGAAUCUUCCGCAAUGGGCGAAAGCCUGACGGAGCAACGCCGCGUGAGUGAUGAAGGUCUUCGGAUCGUAAAACUCUGUUAUUAGGGAAGAACAUAUGUGUAAGUAACUGUGCACAUCUUGACGGUACCUAAUCAGAAAGCCACGGCUAACUACGUGCCAGCAGCCGCGGUAAUACGUAGGUGGCAAGCGUUAUCCGGAAUUAUUGGGCGUAAAGCGCGCGUAGGCGGUUUUUUAAGUCUGAUGUGAAAGCCCACGGCUCAACCGUGGAGGGUCAUUGGAAACUGGAAAACUUGAGUGCAGAAGAGGAAAGUGGAAUUCCAUGUGUAGCGGUGAAAUGCGCAGAGAUAUGGAGGAACACCAGUGGCGAAGGCGACUUUCUGGUCUGUAACUGACGCUGAUGUGCGAAAGCGUGGGGAUCAAACAGGAUUAGAUACCCUGGUAGUCCACGCCGUAAACGAUGAGUGCUAAGUGUUAGGGGGUUUCCGCCCCUUAGUGCUGCAGCUAACGCAUUAAGCACUCCGCCUGGGGAGUACGACCGCAAGGUUGAAACUCAAAGGAAUUGACGGGGACCCGCACAAGCGGUGGAGCAUGUGGUUUAAUUCGAAGCAACGCGAAGAACCUUACCAAAUCUUGACAUCCUUUGACAACUCUAGAGAUAGAGCCUUCCCCUUCGGGGGACAAAGUGACAGGUGGUGCAUGGUUGUCGUCAGCUCGUGUCGUGAGAUGUUGGGUUAAGUCCCGCAACGAGCGCAACCCUUAAGCUUAGUUGCCAUCAUUAAGUUGGGCACUCUAAGUUGACUGCCGGUGACAAACCGGAGGAAGGUGGGGAUGACGUCAAAUCAUCAUGCCCCUUAUGAUUUGGGCUACACACGUGCUACAAUGGACAAUACAAAGGGCAGCGAAACCGCGAGGUCAAGCAAAUCCCAUAAAGUUGUUCUCAGUUCGGAUUGUAGUCUGCAACUCGACUACAUGAAGCUGGAAUCGCUAGUAAUCGUAGAUCAGCAUGCUACGGUGAAUACGUUCCCGGGUCUUGUACACACCGCCCGUCACACCACGAGAGUUUGUAACACCCGAAGCCGGUGGAGUAACCUUUUAGGAGCUAGCCGUCGAAGGUGGGACAAAUGAUUGGGGUGAAGUCGUAACAAGGUAGCCGUAUCGGAAGGUGCGGCUGGAUCACCUCCUUUCUA
rnacentral:rRNA from 1 species